rnacentral:lncRNA from 1 species
GUGUGUUGUCCCGCCGAGCAGUGGGAGUGUAUGCAGAGAGGGGUGGUGGUGCUCGGAUAGGACAGGACAGUGGAGAGCAAAGGGCAAAGAGUCAGUCAGUUAGAAAAUACUGAGUAGGAAAUCAGUCAGUCAGAAAUCCUCCUCCUACUGUAUCGUUGGUUCAUCUUUUAGGAAGCAGACAGUCACAGGGUUAUCCUGCACUCUCUCUUCUCCUUCAUUUUACUCAAGGAAACAGAAAGGUAGAAUCCAAUAUUUCAGGAGAAGAUAGACAGGAGCAAUCCAAUGGAUGAUCCAAACAAACUUUUAAUUUCCUCCAGUUUUCCUUUUAAGUUUGAUCUGGUGACAGACGGUCUUGUUGGGUACCCAUCGCUAUUUGUCCCAGAUACCGUACCAAUGAAAUCCUUCAUGAAAUCACUCUCCUUUCUCUUCUCUCUCCUCUCUCUUCACUCUCCUUUCUCUUCUCUCUCCUCUUUCCUCUCUCCUCUCUCUUCUCUCUCCUCUUUCCUCUCUCCUUUCUCUUCUCUCUCCUCUCUCUUCACUCUCCUCUCUCUUCUCUCUCCUCUUUCCUCUCCCCUUUAUCUUCACUCUCCUUUCUCUUCUCUCUCCUCUUUCCUCUCUCCUUUCUCUUCUCUCUCCUCUUUCCUCUCUCCUUUCUCUUCUCUCUCCUCUUUCCUCUCUCCUCUCUCUUCUCUCUCCUCUUUCCUCUCCCCUUUCUCUUCACUCUCCUCUCUCUUCUCUCUCCUCUUUCCUCUCUCCUUUCUCUUCUCUCUCCUCUUUCCUCUCUCCUUUCUCUUCUCUCUCCUCUUUCCUCUCUCCUCUCUCUCCUCUCCCCUCUCUCUUCUCUCUCCUCUCUCUCCUCUCUCCUCUUUCCUGUCUCUCCUCUCUCCUCUUUCCUCUCCCCUCCGGUGAGUGCUGGCGUGACAGCCAAGAGAUUUAGUGCAGCUGCAGUAGUCCUAAGGCAGACAGUCUGCUUUCUCUCUCUCUCUCUCUCUCUCUCUCUCUCUCUCUCUUUCUCUUUAUCUCUCUCUCGAUCUCCCUUUCUCUUUGUAUUUCUAUCCGUUCAUUCUCUCUCUGCUUAUCUCUUUCUCUCUCUGUUUCUCCCUCUCUCUUUCUAUCUCUCUCUCUGUUUCUCCGCUC